UGUUUAUGAAACUUAACGGUACUGCACCACUGUGUUGUGUUUGUCACCUGGCCCACUCUGUUUUCUUCCCCUUUUCUUUCUUCUUUUCCUUUUCCCACGUGAACACUCCAGAACUCUCUCUCUCUUUUCGAACUCUCUGCCUUCUCUCUAAACCACCAUAUCCAAAAAGAACUCCAAGCACCAUCACCACAAAUUCUAAUUUAAUUGAGACCCCAAACCACCAAAAUACAAGACCUAUGCAAGCUGGGGAUAACUAUGGUACCAUUGCAUGUUAAAUUUGGUAAUGGGAAGUAGGAUAAUCCAAGCAGGGGUUCUCGGUGAGAGUUGCUCUAAUGGAAUCAAGCUACAACCCUUGAAAAGAGGAGUUUUAGGUGGACCACCCUCCUACGUUCCAGUGUGACUGCUUCAGGAGCUACAUGAGUUUUUGGGCACGGUAGGACGCUUCGUCGAACCGGCAACUGAUCCAUGAAAUCCUGGAGGCUUAUAAGGAGAGGUUGGCGGAGAAGAAGAGGAGCAGAAACUCAAAGGUGAAGAAAGAGAGAAGGAAGGCUAACAAGGGCAGUGGACGGCGUCGCUGGCUCUGAUCCUCUUGUUCCUUGUUGCUAAGCUCGUCGCCAUGGCGGUUGCUGGCCGGCAAUCGGAGGUGAAGUUCGGGGAGGGUGGGGAUGCCGACAGUGAAGGAGUUGGUGCAGAGGAGGUGAGCUUCGAAGAGAAGAGGCUGAAGCACCGAACUUCUGUUAUGUAUUUUUCUUUUUUUUUGCUCUUGCCCUUAUCAUUAAAUAAAGUUAGUAGAUAACAGUAGCCAUUGGCUUGCACGGAGAGGGAGGUGUCCCACGUGGGCGGAUCCCAGGGCACACAGCUCAACAAAUAAUAAAAUAAUUCAAAUAACGUAUUGUGAUUUGUAAUAUUCAUUUUUAUUAUUAAAUGAAAAAUUUUAAGUUUGAUUGUCAUUAAA